GGCCAGACUCCUACGGGAGGCAGCAGUGGGGGAUAUUGCACAAUGGGGGGAACCCUGAUGCAGCAACGCCGCGUGAGUGAAGAAGUAUUUCGGUAUGUAAAGCUCUAUCAGCAGGGAAGAAGAUGACGGUACCUGAUUAAGAAGCCCCGGCUAACUACGUGCCAGCAGCCGCGGUAAUACGUAGGGGGCAAGCGUUAUCCGGAUUUACUGGGUGUAAAGGGAGCGUAGACGGCAUAGCAAGUCUGAAGUGAAAGCCCAAGGCUCAACCAUGGGACUGCUUUGGAAACUGUUAAGCUAGGGUGCUGGAGAGGUAAGCGGAAUUCCUAGUGUAGCGGUGAAAUGCGUAGAUAUUAGGAAGAACACCAGUGGCGAAGGCGGCUUACUGGACAGUAACUGACGUUGAGGCUCGAAAGCGUGGGGAGCAAACAGGAUUAGAUACCCGGGUAC
rnacentral:rRNA from 1 species